rnacentral:rRNA from 1 species
UACGUAGGGGGCAAGCGUUGUCCGGAUUUAUUGGGCGUAAAGAGCGUGUAGGCGGCCAGGGAGGUCCGUUGUGAAAACUCGAGGCUCAACCUCGAGACGCCGAUGGAAACCCCCUGGCUAGAGUUCGGAAGAGGCAAGUGGAAUUCCCGGUGUAGCGGUGAAAUGCGCAGAUAUCGGGAGGAACACCAAUUGCGAAGGCAGCUUGCUGGGACGAUACUGACGCUGAGGCGCGAAAGCGUGGGGAGCAAACAGG